rnacentral:rRNA from 1 species
GAGGCAGCAGUGAGGAAUAUUGGUCAAUGGGCGGGAGCCUGAACCAGCCAAGUAGCGUGCAGGAUGACGGCCCUAUGGGUUGUAAACUUCUUUUACACAGGAAUAAAGUGAGCUACGUUAGCCGCGGUAUUACGAAGAGUAGACGAGGCCC